UCCCAAUUAAAAUCCUCUCCAGAGACGCCUGUGCUGCUUAUGAAAGCAGAACUUUGGUUGUGCUAACAUGUGCAUUCAGCUCAUGGUUUUAAGUUUAUAUCUGAGAGGAUGCUGUAGAAUUCAUUAAUCAUAUGGGAUCAGUAAUGAUGGCAGGUAAUUCUGGCUGAUGUCUUUUAGAGGGUAUUUUUCACUUCAAGUUACAACUUCCUUCGGGAUAGUCAUUUUGGGAUUCAUUGAAAUGUGUGCUUUAUUUCACAGCUCAGAUUUUCGUUAGACAUUUCAUAGCAUAGGAUUUUGAAAGCAGAUUUGGCAAAAUCUUUCUAGCGAAAUGUCUGACGUCAGAAGGAACAGCACUCAGAAUUACUGGUAACUGUGGUCCAUUUUCAGGCUGAUGAUAGAAGUCACUUGAACGGUCAGGGCUGCUGUGUGAGGUGGAUGAUGGGGUUUUUGAACCCUGACCCUCCUGACACGCCAGCUCUGGCCCUGGCCUUCUCUCCUCUCCACUGGGAGGAGAGAAGGUGCCAGCAUCCACCUCACAGGCCAUCGUGAGAACCCGGGACUAAGGGUUUGUGUUCCUCUUGCAGGUGGCGCCGCAGAUGUGGGGGCCUGACGAUAUAUACACACUGCAGGCUGCCAGUGUCGGGGUAAUCCAGUUUUCGUCAAAAGGUGGGAUUUGCUUUGCUACCCUGCGGACCAGGUGCAGUGCUGCUGUUGCAGCAGGACCGUCUAUCCCAGGAAUGCCAAGCCCCACUGGCUUUCACCCGACGCUGUCGUAGGUGACGCCGCAUGGAAAUGAGGACCCGUGUGCCGCAUACCUGAGCCAGUACCCGUCUCCCUCCAGGGCCGUGGCCGAGCCCUCCUGAUUUCGCUGGGUUGCCAGCCUGGGGAUCUGUAAGCCCAGCGACGCCUGCGGUCUCGGCCCCCCCUCCCCGUGGGGACAGGAGAGGUGGCUUCCGGGGGCUGGUGAUGAAUGCCUGAAUGAA